rnacentral:lncRNA from 1 species
UAAACUCAAAGAAUGCGAGAAUGGCCCAGUUCCACUGGAACAUGGAGACUGGUAGAGAAUAAGCUUUCAGAAAAGCCUUUAAGCAUUAGGGUUUUCUGUUUUGUUCAUAUACAAUGGGAGGACAUUUAGGGAUUUUUAGCAUAGAAUUACAUGAAUUGGUUUGUGAUUUAAAAAUACUUAAAUGAUAUCAAGUAAGUCAAGCCUUGAGAUAUAACAAUGCUGACAAUGAAGAGUAAGAAUUUCACAAAAUCCAGGUGGAUAAAUGAUAUCGAUAUUAUAUCCUUAAAAGUAUGUAUGUACUUUCCCUAAAUGUGUUUUAAUUUUAUUUAAAAAUAUAAAUAAGGAUUUAAAUAUUCUGGAUUUUAAUCAUUGUUCUUUACUAUUAUUUUUAUGAUGUAGAAAUAUUGCCUGUGUUAUACUGUCCUAUAACUGAGUCAAAAGCCUAUUUGUAUUGUCUGUCCAACAGCUUUAUAAUAAAUAGUUCUAAAAUUUUGACAGUUGUUCAUGGUAAAACUUCAAUUUUCUUUUAACUAAAGACUUUUUACUGGAUCAGUAAAACUAAAGAUUCUUUUAUGCCAUGUGUAAAAAUCUCUGUUGUGGGAAUAGUAUUAUUGAUUUGCUGUGUAAAAUAUAUUAUAACCAAAAAUUGCUUUGAACAAUAAAUGUAAAUCUUUUUAUUUUCUAAAAAUGUAUAUUAAAUCAAAUGUUUGAGCCAUGAAAAUCUACAUUAUUAUUUUAUCCCAUGAGAUAAACUGUUUUCAAAUAUCUUCACAACAUUUAUUAUUGCCUAGAAUUAAAUAUAUAUUUAAAAAGUUAGUUAUAAAAAUAUAUUGCUAAAUGGUUUAUUUAAUUAGCCUAAUGAAGAAAAUAUUCUCCAACAAAGGAUUCUUUCUUUAAAUAGCCCUUUAAAUGACACAUGGGUUUUUAGUUUUUAAUAAUACCCUUUUCCCCAAAUGUGCAAACUUUCUGAAACAACACUAUUUUAAAAGUACAUUGAUUAUAAUAUUAUUUGAGUAGAUUGCAGCUUUCUGGGGCCAGAAAGUACAUCUUAUUCAUCCUAGUAUUUUUAGCUCUUAGCAGAAUUCCUAGGACUUGGCUUAUUUAGCCAAUCUGUUGAAUAAAUCAAUGAAUGAUAUGUUUUUCCAUGUAAAGCAUUUUUAGAAUAUCUACAGCUUUCAAAAUUAUUGUAUUUUUAUUGCUUAAAUAGAAACACAGCUUUUGAGUUUCCUAAUGCAAGUCCAAUUGUUUAAAAAUACAUGAGCAGUUAAAAAAUAAAUCAAGAAGUUAUUUAUUGGCUACUCAUAUAAAAAUGAAAUACAAGUUACGAUACCUAAAAAAUUUAUCUACUUGAGGAGAUAUUGAAUAAUGACACUGAUUAGUAAAGACAUACUCAUUUAAAUUUCUUAAACCCUUGAAACGAGGCAUGAAAUUUAGGUUUCAUGAGGUAAGCAAUAAAAUCAAUUUUAAGUUUUUUUUUUUUUUUUUUUUUUUUUUUUUUGCUACAGGGUCUUGCUCUAUCACCCAGGCUGGAGGGCAGUGCCAUGAUCAUAGCUCACAGCAAUCUCCAACUCCCGUGCUCAGGUGAUCCUCCAUUUACCCUCCUGAGUAGCUGGGACUAACUGUUUUCUUGUUUUUGUUUUGUAGGGUCUCACUAUGUUGCCCAGGAUGUUCACAAACUCUUGGCCUCAAGCGAUCCUCUGCCUCGGUCUCCCAAAGUGUUGAGAUUGCAGGCAUGAGCCACCAUGCUGGGAAAUUUUAGGUCUUAAUCAAGGGUUUAAGUAUGAUAAACUCAGGAUUUAGAAUAAAUGAAUCUCACUCCAUUAUAAGAAAUCACUGAAUGAUAAGGCUGAAGACAGGGGGAUCAACUGGAGGCUGUUGCUAUAAUUCAGUGUGAGCUAUAUGGUAGAAAUGUGAAUGUAGAGAGAUGUAAAUAGAAGAUAUUUAGCAGAAAGUAUUGAUGAGACUAAGCAUAGCCAAAGAGGAUGUUGAAUUCAAAAUUUCAAGCUGAUCUUGUGGCAUAACCUUGAACAAUUAAGGCAUGAAGGAGAAGAGCUUGGAAAAUGUGAUGUCUUGUUUUAAUCUCAUUAAAUUUGAAAUGACAGUAAAGAAUCAAAACAUGCAAUGAAAAUAUUUUUAAAAAAUCAGCAGGCCAUUUGGAAGUGUGAAUGAUAAUGCAGAGCUAAAUAUAUAUUUUUGAACAUAACCAGCAAUGUAGCAGUAAUUGAAUUUAUGCCAGGGUAGCUUGCUGGCAGAUUAUGUUAAGGUGGAAGAAGAGAGUCACACUGAACUUUUCAAAUUGAAAAUGAGAAUGGGAAAAUAAGCUGUCUGAGAAUAAAUACAGGAAAUUCAAAGAAGGAAGAAGAAACCAGAUUAAAGUAGGAGAUGCAGAGAGUAGAGAGGGUUUCAAGAAAGAGAUACAGCUACGGCGAUGAUGCGCAGGAACCCACAUGUAUUAUCAGCUCAAGAAAACAGAUUCUUAAGUUUUCAGGAAUUUUAUGCAUCACUUUUUAAGCACAGCAAUUAAAUAAAUUAAAUUAAUUAUACACAUUUCCAAGUAAAUAAAACAUGUUAACAACUAAGUUAAUAAAUACUCAAAAACUCAUCAAUUUCUAAUUAUUUUACUACCUGUUCCUAUUACCCAUACUCCUUAGGUUAUUUAUGUAUGUUAUUUAUGAUGUGGAAAUACUAGAUAAUGGUGUUUUAUUUCCCAUCUCUUUCUAAUUUGGCAUGCGAUGAUGUUACGUUGCUAACUUAAAAUUAGUAAUGGUGAGAAUAUUUGCACCAUGAAAAUGGCACAUGCUAAAAAUCAGGCCCGAUUUGUGGUUGUGUUAAUUAUCUAAGUAUAAGAGGUGACAAACUGUAGCCCUUGGGCAAAAUCCAGCUCACUGCUUGUUUUGGUACAUAAAGUUUUGUUGGAAGACAGACAUACCCAUUUGUUUACAUUGUCCGUAGAUACUUUUAGAUUACAAAGGCAGAAAGAAGUAAUUGUAGCAGAGACUACCUAUCCUGUAAGGCCUCACUAUUUACUAUCUGA